GAUGAACGCUAGCGGCAGGCUUAAUACAUGCAAGUCGAGGGGCAGCAUGAAUGUAGCAAUACAUUUGAUGGCGACCGGCAAACGGGUGCGGAACACGUACACAAUCUUCCUAUAAGUGGGGAAUAGCCCAGAGAAACUUGGAUUAAUAACCCAUAACAUAAUGAUGUGGCAUCACAUUAUUAUUAUAGCUACAGCGCUUAUUGAUGGGGGUUCGGCUGAUUAGAUAGUUGCCGGGGUAACGGCCCACCAAGGAUACGAUCAGUAGCUGAUGUGAAGGCAGGAUCAGCCACACAGGCACUGAGACACGGGCCCGAAUCCUACGGGAGUCAGCAGUAAGUAAUAUUAGGCAAUGGACGCAAGUCUGAACCAGCCAUGCCGCGUGAAUGAUUAAGGUCCUCUUGAUUGUAAACUUCUUUUAUCUGGGACGAAAAAAGGCGAUUCUUCGUCACUUGACGGUACCAGAUGAAUAAGCACCGGCUAACUCCGUGCCAGCCGCCGCAGUAAAAC
rnacentral:rRNA from 1 species